AGACACCUCUCUGCUGGCGUGUUCCUGGGUCCAUGAUGGAAGAAGGAAAAGUAUUUUUAAAAGACAAUCUGAAGCUCAUACUGUGACUGCAACAUAAAAUGUGUUCACCUGAGGAGACUGCUUUCAUCGCCAGUGUGUCACAGAAGGUCUCUGAUGGUUCUGGUUUCCUGGGCACCUAGAAUAAGUGUGUCACCAUUUGUCCUGAAGCUGACUUCUCUGAGCUGGAUGGCACCCUGGACAUCAACCAGCCCUUCACCUUCACGUCACACAGGAGGGACACUGGUCCAUAGAGAGGAUGCCUGCUCUGGUCACCAGCUGGAGAGUGGCAGACCUUGGGUACCUGACCUUUGGACUCUGCCACACAGAGCACUUCCUCAGUCCCUCCUGCUGCCCCUGGCAGGGUGGAGCUGGCAGGGCAGCUGAUCCAGGACCGUCCACUUCCAAGCCAGCAGGAGGAUGGAAAAGC
rnacentral:lncRNA from 1 species